rnacentral:lncRNA from 1 species
AAGAAUGUUCAAGACAAGCAGCCGCUAAGACCAAGCUAUAACAACUGCUCUGGCUACUGCCUGUUAUGCAGAAGAUCAUGCAGCCUCUCUCGCUUGCAUGGCAAGGCAGCCACGACGAUGGUGCCUGACGCUACUGAUCUGGUCAUUGGACGAAGUCCCUCUUCAGAGUUUCAAUAUGCAUGCUGUUGAAACGAUGAGGAUCGAUGUACUCCUGACGGUGGGAUCAGACAGGUUCGUAAUACAAAAUCCUCAACCAGGCCACACCCCUUCUUCCUUGCACUGUUCUGGAUGCACCAGCAAACAGGUAGAGUGCAUG